rnacentral:misc_RNA from 1 species
AAUCGUGAUUCGCGUUCGAGGAAACUCUAAAGACUUCACAGGUUGGCAGAUUUUCUGGAAUCUCGGCCGGCGAAUUAUCUGUUCACGAUUCGACGAUCAAAGGCCGACAGCACGGCACACGCGUGACCUGGAAUUUCCGGCGACUCAAGUAAAUGUAAACGGAAACCGACCCUUCUUACUGCAAAUGGCGGCCUGCAAAGGGAGAUACGGUCUUGAUCCCCUCGUUACGUGCACCACGAAAUUUGCCAACCACCUGUAAUACUG